rnacentral:tRNA from 1 species
GGCAAGGUGGCCGAGCGGUCUAAGGCGUCAGGUUAAGGUCAUACCUUAAUACACAGCUUUACAGCUUCCUGAUCAUCGUAAGAUGGCGUGGGUUCGAAUCCCACCCUUGUCA